CCUACGGGAGGCAGCAGUGAGGAAUAUUGGUCAAUGGCCGGAAGGCUGAACCAGCCAAGCCGCGUGAAGGACGAAGGUGCCAAGCAUUGUAAACUUCUUUUGUCAAGGGACAAAAUCAGGCUCGAGAGCCUGACCGAGGGUACUUGAAGUACAAGCAUCGGCUAACUCCGUGCCAGCAGCCGCGGUAAUACGUAGGGAGCAAGCGUUAUCCGGAUUUAGUGGGUGUAAAGGGUGCGUAGACGGGAAGUCAAGUUGGUUGUGAAAUGCCUCGGCUUAACUGAGGAACUGCAACCAAAACUAACUUUCUUGAGUGCUGGAGAGGAAAGUGGAAUUCCUAGUGUAGCGGUGAAAUGCGUAGAUAUUAGGAGGAACACCAGUGGCGAAGGCGACUUUCUGGACAGUAACUGACGUUGAGGCACGAAAGUGUGGGGAGCAAACAGGAUUAGAUACCCUAGUAGUC
rnacentral:rRNA from 1 species